rnacentral:misc_RNA from 1 species
GCUGGUUUAAAGUGUUUUUGUGUGACAGUGAUAUUAAGUCCCUGUAUGUUUUGUGGAAAAUAACUUAUCUGCAAAAACUAUUUUAGAAGGAAAACAAAUUUUAAGAAAUGACUUGUUUUAUACUGUUUGAUUAUAAUUUCAAUAUUUUUUGGUUUUUAAUGUAAACUGAAUAACAUUAAUUUUCUUUAAAUAAACCAGACUAUGAAAAUAUUUGGUUAAUUUUAAUAAAAUCCUAGCCUAUUCUGCAUAAUGAGGUUUUUAAUAAAUCAAGCAAAAAAAUUUAAACAAUUAAUGUUUUAUCCAAGUUUGAGCUUGACCCUUUCUUUGGUGGGCCAAGCUUGAGCUUGCAAGAUGAAGUUUGAAUUGAGCUUGAGUGCUGAGCUCAAGGCCUAGUAAAAUAUAGGGAAGCCCUAAACACUAUCGAGAUUAGCUCAGCUCAACUCACUUGUAUUAAUAGCCCUAUCCUUUAGGGUAGCCUAUUUGCACUAUUUUUACUUUUGUUCUUCACAUCAUGACAACAUGGAAGUUCAUUAAUAAAAUAUACACUCUAAGCUAGAAGAAAAUUGCAAUCUCUUUUUGCUGUCCUAAAAGUAAAGCUUGCACAAAAAACAGAUAGAAGAAAUUCUAGUUCAAUGAAUCUCAAGAUGAUUCCUACUAAAAAGAUCACAAUAUAACCAUUGAUCAUAAUUUGAUUGAUCAUAAUUUGCAUUUAAGCUCAUUUACAAAGCUCAAAUAAAGUGGAAGAUAUAAGAGGAUAUAAUUAGUUAAAGGAGGUUUAUGGAAGUAGCAAGGUUCAUUAGCAUUUCAAUACAUGAAAGCACACCUUAAAUUCAGUUAUAUCAAAUUUUUCCACUUCCAUUUUAAUCUUAGAGAUUCAGCAAAAAUUCAUGGCUGUCCGCAUUAGUAGAAGUCGUGAAAACACAGCCAAGGUUCCAGCACAAUAACGCAUAUAUAUAUCAAUAAUGCUUGUCAUGUUGCGUUAGUUUUCUUAUUCAGAAGUAGUGAAAGCAAAGGGAGUGAAAAGGUGGAAAAAUCAAAAUUGCUAUAAAAUCCUUCAUCCACUAAAAAGUGAAAAGAAAAAAAAAAUGA